rnacentral:rRNA from 1 species
AGAUGAGCCUAUGUUAGAUUAGCUAGUUGGUAGGGUAAAGGCCUACCAAGGCGAUGAUCUAUAGCUGGUCUGAGAGGAUGAUCAGCCACACUGGAACUGAGACACGGCCCAGACUCCUACGGGAGGCAGCAGUGGGGAAUAUUGGACAAUGGGCGAAAGCCUGAUCCAGCAAUGCCGCGUGAGUGAUGAAGGCCUUAGGGUCGUAAAGCUCUUUUACCCGGGAUGAUAAUGACAGUACCGGGAGAAUAAGCUCCGGCUAACUCCGUG